rnacentral:tRNA from 1 species
GAUAAAGUGGCUGAAGUUUUAGGUAAUAAAUUGUAAAUUUAUUCAUGGUUAAUAACCCUUUAUCA